GACGUAGGAUGCAAGCGUUGUCCGGAUUUAUUGGGCGUAAAGGGCUCGUAGGCGGUUUGUCGCGUCGGGAGUGAAAUCCACUGGCUUAACUGGUGGCUUGCUUUCGAUACGGGCAGACUGGAGGUAUGCAGGGGAGAACGGAAUUCCUGGUGUAGCGGUGAAAUGCGCAGAUAUCAGGAGGAACACCGGUGGCGAAGGCGGUUCUCUGGGCAUGUCCUGACGCUGAGGAGCGAAAGUGUGGGGAGCGAACAGG
rnacentral:rRNA from 1 species